GUAGGACAUGGUGAAAGCUAACCACCCAAGCUAGAGGUGGAGCGUGAUCCAAAAUUCAGAGUAGGCCAUUGAAAAUGAAGCACUAAACAUUAAUAAAUAGUACCAAUUUUAUAUUUUAUAAUGAAUAGGGUAUGGAUGAUAAAUGAUGCCAUUCAUGUCAAGUUUGAGUGGCAGGUUACUGCAUGAAGAUGAUGCUUAGACAUUUAGAUAGUGUUUGGUUAGACAUUUAGAUAGUGUUUGGUUCGUCAAAAUGUAACGCAAUCGC
rnacentral:lncRNA from 1 species